rnacentral:lncRNA from 1 species
CCCGCGGCAGACCCCACGCGGCCAGGCGCCCCCGCCCGCUGCCCUCUCCUCUCCCAGACCGGCCUCCCCGGCGGGGGCUGUCACCGAGCGUCUGCCACGGCCGGACCCUGCCCCGGGGGAGGAGAGACCAGGGCCGGGGGCGGGAGCCACCCUUGUGCUCGGAGGCCUGGGUUCGGAGCCCAGCUUCUGGGAAUGGUUUCCAGAUCUCCCUGAGUUUCAGUUUCCUCAUCUGUAAACGGGGUGGUGGUGGCUUCGUUCACCUGUUUGAGAGGACAGCAGGAGAGGCGUCCUGAGAAGUCUGUGAAACAGGGAUCACAAGGAGUUGAGGAAGAGAAGGGGUCUCUGACAACCCAUGGAGACUCCUCAGCAGCUCCUCCUCCAGGUCUGCAAGCAACAAAUCCAGUCCCAAAGACACCAGGCCAGGCUCACAAACCCGCUUGCUGAAGGAAGAGAAAGGGGUCCAGGUGUUCCUCGUACUGAGAGGAGUACCGCAGCUUUGUGUCAUCAGUGCCGC